UACAGAGGGUGCAAGCGUUAUUCGGAAUUACUGGGCGUAAAGCGUGUGUAGACGGUUAUUUAAGUCAGGUGUGAAAGCUCAGGGCUCAACCUUGGAAUUGCAUUUGAGACUGAAUAGCUAGGGUGCGGAAGAGGGAACCGGAAUUUCCGGUGUAGCGGUGAAAUGCGUAGAUAUCGGAAGGAACACCAGUGGCGAAAGCGGCUUCCUGGUCCAUCACCGACGUUCAGACACGAAAGCGUGGGGAGCAAACAGG
rnacentral:rRNA from 1 species